rnacentral:rRNA from 1 species
UCCAGACUCCUACGGGAGGCAGCAGUGGGGAAUAUUGCACAAUGGGGGGAACCCUGAUGCAGCGAUGCCGCGUGGAGGAAGAAGGUUUUCGGAUUGUAAACUCCUUUUAUCAGGGACGAUAAUGACGGUACCUGGAGAAAAAGCUCCGGCUAACUACGUGCCAGCAGCCGCGGUAAUACGUAGGGAGCGAGCGUUGUCCGGAUUUACUGGGUGUAAAGGGCGUGUAGGCGGAGCUGCAAGUCAGAAGUGAAAUCUCCGGGCUCAACCCGGAAACUGCUUUUGAAACUGUAGCCCUUGAGUAUCGGAGAGGCAGGCGGAAUUCCUAGUGUAGCGGUGAAAUGCGUAGAUAUUAGGAGGAACACCAGUGGCGAAGGCGGCUUACUGGACAGUAACUGACGUUGAGGCUCGAAAGCGUGGGGAGCAAACAGGAUUAGAUACCCUAGUAGG